GAAGGUGUGCUGUGAGGCAUGCUGGAGGUAUCAGAAGUGCGAAUGCUGACAUAAGUAACGAUAAAGCGGGUGAAAAGCCCGCUCGCCGGAAGACCAAGGGUUCCUGUCCAACGUUAAUCGGGGCAGGGUGAGUCGACCCCUAAGGCGAGGCCGAAAGGCGUAGUCGAUGGGAAACAGGUUAAUAUUCCUGUACUUGGUGUUACUGCGAAGGGGGGACGGAGAAGGCUAUGUUGGCCGGGCGACGGUUGUCCCGGUUUAAGCGUGUAGGCUGGUUUUCCAGGCAAAUCCGGAAAAUCAAGGCUGAGGCGUGAUGACGAGGCACUACGGUGCUGAAGCAACAAAUGCCCUGCUUCCAGGAAAAGCCUCUAAGCAUCAGGUAACAUCAAAUCGUACCCCAAACCGACACAGGUGGUCAGGUAGAGAAUACCAAGGCGCUUGAGAGAACUCGGGUGAAGGAACUAGGCAAAAUGGUGCCGUAACUUCGGGAGAAGGCACGCUGAUAUGUAGGUGAAGUCCCUCGCGGAUGGAGCUGAAAUCAGUCGAAGAUACCAGCUGGCUGCAACUGUUUAUUAAAAACACAGCACUGUGCAAACACGAAAGUGGACGUAUACGGUGUGACGCCUGCCCGGUGCCGGAAGGUUAAUUGAUGGGGUUAGCCGCAAGGCGAAGCUCUUGAUCGAAGCCCCGGUAAACGGCGGCCGUAACUAUAACGGUCCUAAGGUAGCGAAAUUCCUUGUCGGGUAAGUUCCGACCUGCACGAAUGGCGUAAUGAUGGCCAGGCUGUCUCCACCCGAGACUCAGUGAAAUUGAACUCGCUGUGAAGAUGCAGUGUACCCGCGGCAAGACGGAAAGACCCCGUGAACCUUUACUAUAGCUUGACACUGAACAUUGAGCCUUGAUGUGUAGGAUAGGUGGGAGGCUUAGAAGUGUGGACGCCAGUCUGCAUGGAGCCGACCUUGAAAUACCACCCUUUAAUGUUUGAUGUUCUAACGUUGACCCGUAAUCCGGGUUGCGGACAGUGUCUGGUGGGUAGUUUGACUGGGGCGGUCUCCUCCUAAAGAGUAACGGAGGAGCACGAAGGUUGGCUAAUCCUGGUCGGACAUCAGGAGGUUAGUGCAAUGGCAUAAGCCAGCUUGACUGCGAGCGUGACGGCGCGAGCAGGUGCGAAAGCAGGUCAUAGUGAUCCGGUGGUUCUGAAUGGAAGGGCCAUCGCUCAACGGAUAAAAGGUACUCCGGGGAUAACAGGCUGAUACCGCCCAAGAGUUCAUAUCGACGGCGGUGUUUGGCACCUCGAUGUCGGCUCAUCACAUCCUGGGGCUGAAGUAGGUCCCAAGGGUAUGGCUGUUCGCCAUUUAAAGUGGUACGCGAGCUGGGUUUAGAACGUCGUGAGACAGUUCGGUCCCUAUCUGCCGUGGGCGCUGGAGAACUGAGGGGGGCUGCUCCUAGUACGAGAGGACCGGAGUGGACGCAUCACUGGUGUUCGGGUUGUCAUGCCAAUGGCACUGCCCGGUAGCUAAAUGCGGAAGAGAUAAGUGCUGAAAGCAUCUAAGCACGAAACUUGCCCCGAGAUGAGUUCUCCCUGAC
rnacentral:rRNA from 1 species